ACCUGCGGAGGGAUAUUACAGAGCAUCAUGCCCUUCGGGGUAAAUCUCCCACCCUAUGUAUUACAUACUUUUGUUGCUUUGGCGGGCCGCCUCGGCCACCGGCUUCGGCUGGUGCGUGCCCGCCAGAGGACCCCAAACUCUGAAUGUUAGUGUCGUCUGAGUACUAUAUAAUAGUUAAAACUUUCAACAACGGAUCUCUUGGUUCUGGCAUCGAUGAAGAACGCAGCGAAAUGCGAUAAGUAAUGUGAAUUGCAGAAUCAGUGAAUCAUCGAAUCUUUGACGCACAUGGCGCCCUCUGGUAUUCCGGAGGGCAUGCCUGUUCGAGCGUCAUUACACCCUCAAGCUCUGCUUGGCCUUGGGCAUCACCGGCAACGGUGGCCUCAAACCCAGUGGCGGUGCCAUCUGGCUCUAAGCGUAGUAAUUCUUCUCGCUAUAGGUGCCCGGUGGAUGCUUGCCAACAACCCCCAACUUCUUAAGGUGACCUCGGAUCAGGUAGGGAUACCCGCUGAACUUAAGCAUAUC
rnacentral:rRNA from 1 species